rnacentral:sRNA from 1 species
CGUAAGCCACACUGGUAUGUGUGUUUCGUUGGGAUCUCGUUUCGUUUCGUUUUUUUUUCCUGUUUCCACGCAGGUUUAAUUACCACGGAAGACUCGAAGACUCCGCAAAGAGAGCAGCAGAGCAGCCAAGGAAGAGAGAGGGGAUCCGCAGAUCGAAUCGGAAUUGGAAUCUCGGUUUUAGCAUUUGCAUGGAGACCGACUGAAGCUCGACCGGACCCUCGUGAGCGAAGUGAGAGGGCUGGAAAGAUAGUGAGAGAGGAUCAAAGUGCGGAAAGUGUUGUCAGUGCGGAAAAGAGGCCGUGAUCUACUACAGGUUAUGUUAAGUAGAAAGUCAGGGGUGCCAAACACAUACGGUAAUCUCGAAAGAGCGAUACUUUACCUCCUGCUUAAUAUAUCAUGGUUUUUCCAGGACUGUGACUGCUACCGGGGGGCGUGGCACCACCAUUCAUGCUGUGCGAUCACAUUACGUCGUAAUGCGCUUCCGUUUUCUUCUGUCCGCUCCUCCCCUCACCCACCUACUUUCGGUGCUAAUGUGAGGCUGCGCAAAGGCGCCGCCACCGCCACCGCCACCGCCACCAUUCAUAUUGAUUUGGUAAGUCGGGGAGGACCAGUCCCAAUCUUCAUUCCGAACUCAGGCCAAUCCAAAUCCCAGCCUGCAAUUACACUUCCGCCCAAGAAAGAAACAAGGAAAGACGUACACAAAAAACCGACAACGAAACGAAACUCGAAACCAACUUGCGAUCUCCAGAGCUCUCCGCCAUUCAGACUCUCUGUCUCUGUCUCUGUCUCUGAAUCUAAGGCUCAUUCACAGAUCGAGAGCCCAUUCCGUGGCCUAUUCAUUCAUUCAUUCAUGUUGAUUGCCACCUUUGGGCAGCCCUGCCUCUCCAUCAGCCUCUCCAAUCUCUCGGCCGCGCGCUGCCGUGGGGCAGCAGCAACAGACUCUUACUCUCUUGUGGCUUCAAUGAUUAGUCUGUGCUAAUGAACAGGCGGCGGCAGCGGCUACCUAGCGCGCAAAAAAAAACACCAAACACCGAAGAAACCGAAAAAAGCGACUUAACGGAGACCCCAAGACGGCAGCAGCAGGGCAGCAAGCAAACAGAAAUCAAAUCCAAUUUAUGUUUUCAACAUUAAUCAUAAUUUUUUUUUGUUUUUUUUUGGGGCCCUCUAUUCCGUGUAGCCGUAGCGUGAAAUAUUUUUAUGCGCCGUUUUUACGGUUCCAAAGAGCAGAAAAACUCGAAUUGGAAUCGGAAUUUGGAAUCUGUGGGGGGAAAAACUCAAUGGAUCUUCCGCAUGAGAAAAAGGUGUCAAUGUCUAAUUUUGUGAUGCAUUUUCUGUUUUCCUCAUUAUGAAAAUUAUAGAGUGGAUCAUCUGGGGGAGAACUGGAUCAGUGGAUCAUUAUUAAUGGUGUGCGAGAGAAUCGAUACGAUUGCUUUGGCCAUGAGAAAUCCCCACCAAAGAAAAUUGAAAGAUCUAAAGAAAUGAUUUCCAAUUUCAUAUUUCUUAUGUGGAGUAAAUUCAAGAUAAGUUUUAAGCAUGUUUUAUAUGGGAAAAAUCAACUUGUAUUCCUUGCUUAAUUAACAGAUCAGACAUUUUGAUAUUUCUGUAGUUUUAUCCCUGAUGUCUUGGGUCAUUCUAAGUACAGGUCAUUUCAUUUUAAGUCGGUAGCAGCACAACGGUGAUGCCAGUUACGAGAAGAAACGAGGAUAGAUCUGUUCUGUGGAGGAGAACCACUUGAAAAGCAAUUUUUGUUGAAAUUUAUUUUCCAUUUAUUGCUUUAUUUAUUCUUCUACCUUUUUACCCGACAGUGUGUGGCCCUGGACACCGGUUUGGGCCCUGAUUCUGAUUCUAGUUCUGCGUUCUAUCUGCUUAUGCGAUUAGUGAGGUCUAAAGGAGGAGCUCUCCCAUAAGAUGACGAUACUGUCGAUGAGGAUUGAGGAUGGGACUGCGACUGCCACGAUGACGAUGAUGAUGCUGCUCUUGCUCUCCUCUCGUUGUGUGUUUAUUAUUGUUUGGACCCAGAGACCUUUUUGUUUGUAUGCAUUUUCGAUGAAUAAAAAACGAAGACGACCACGAAGGGAAUCUGGUCUCAAUGGGCGCACAACAGCAUCCAUGGGUCGAGGCACAACAAUCGAAAGUAAUAAUGAAAUCCCAUCAACAGGCAGUAAAGAGAAUGAGAAGCAGGAACAACAAAAGAGAUGCGAGAUGCCCGGGGACAGGGACAGAGCCCUCUUCUGGCUAGUGCCCACCAUUCUCCCAUUCCCAUUCUUAUUUCCAAUUCCUUUUUCGGUUUUGCAGCAGAAUGAGAAUGAAGGAACGACGGACGUCUCGGACGACACUUGCCUUGAUUUUUAUUAUGGCUCUGGUCUCAGGGCUUUUCCUUCCCCUUACAUUUUUCUGCCUUUUGAUUUAUUGUUAGCCGGAAAGAGCGAGCCAUGUUCUGGCUCUAUGGGAUCUCUCUGGGAGUGCGAUCUCGGGUCGGCUUCGGCUUUUUCAAGUGAAAUUUCAAGAAAAGUUUCUAUUCUUGUAGACAGUUCAUUAGUGCCAUCAACAAGUUGGGUGGGGGACAUAAAGGAUGAUGGGACCUAACCCUACCCCAUGCUUCCUACACACCCUAGUUACCGCACCAACAACAACUACAACAGCUGGGAGGCAGCUUUCCAAUUGCAGGAGGAGGUUUGUGUCCCAGCUAAAGUCCGAUGUGCAACAUGCAACAUGCAACACUUGUUCGAUGACCCAGAAAGUAACGGCGAUUGACGACUGGUGGGGACAGUGGCCAUUCGCCAAACUGGUGAGCCGCCCACCCAAAAAAGGACAUAACCACAUGACUGUCAAUGCAGCGAGGAGGAGAAGGAGGGGAUGGGGGAUUGUUGUCAACUGGAAUCGAUCGAUAUGGCUCUGACAUUUAUGGACAGCGCUGACCAGAUGAACUACUUUCAAGCUACUUGCAACGCGAAGCAGGCAGUCAAUAUACCGUUAAAAAGACGCGA